rnacentral:rRNA from 1 species
GAUGAACGCUGACAGAAUGCUUAACACAUGCAAGUCUUUGGCGAAGCUGUGCUUGCACAGCCUAGCCAAGGCGGACGGGUGAGUAACGCGUAAGGAACUUGCCCUGCAGUCAGGGAUAACAGACGGAAACGACUGAUAAGACCUGGUAAAGUCAGGCGGACUCAUGUCCAGCCUGAUGAAAAGAGAUGCUGCAGGAGAGCCUUGCGUCCUAUUAGCUUGUUGGUGGGGUAACGGCCCACCAAGGCGAUGAUAGGUAGCCGGCCUGAGAGGGUGGACGGCCACAAGGGGACUGAGAUACGGCCCUUACUCCUACGGGAGGCAGCAGUGGGGAAUAUUGGACAAUGGGGGCAACCCUGAUCCAGCAAUUCUGUGUGCACGAUGAAGGUUUUCGGAUUGUAAAGUGCUUUCAGCAGGGAAGAAAAAAAUGGCGGUACCUGCAGAAGAAGCGACGGCUAAAUACGUG